rnacentral:rRNA from 1 species
UACGUAGGUCGCAAGCGUUGUCCGGAUUUACUGGGCGUAAAGAGCGCGCAGGCGGCUGGUCAAGUCCGAUGUGAAAUCUCCCGGCUCAACUGGGAAACUGCAUCGGAAACUGAUCGGCUUGAAGAUGGGAGAGGGUAGUGGAAUUCCCGGUGUAGUGGUGAAAUGCGUAGAUAUCGGGAGGAACACCAGUGGCGAAGGCGACUUCCUGGCCUGUUCUUGACGCUGAGGUGCGAAAGCUAGGGUAGCAAACGGG